rnacentral:sRNA from 1 species
AUAUCUGUGUACCUAAAACAAAGGUUCUUAGUAUCUUGUAUACUGUAGUUUAUACUUUAAAAACAAUUUAUGUGUAUAGAUGUUUUACCUGCAUGUAUGUCUGUAUAACAUAUGCAUGCUUGGUGAGGUUGUCAGAUCAUCUGGAACUAGAGUUACAGAGACUUGUGGGCCACAACAUGGGUGCUGGAAGUUGAACCUGGGUCUUCUGGGAGAGCAGCUAGAACACUCUUAUCUGGUAAGCUAGUUCUCUAGCCCCCAAGAUUUUAUAUUUCAAUUUGAUUUUUCAAAAAAGUUUGAGUUUGUUUAGAAUUUCCCCCUACAACAGAAAUGACAGCCACAGUGCACGUGCACAUGCACAGAGAGACACAAAGCAGCUGCAGAGCAGCAAGUGAGGCUGUUUCUGCUGACAGGGAUAAAAACAUGGGAGAACAAAACCUUAGUAAAUGCUUAGUCUGUGGACUUUUGUUCUAAUGAGCAAUGGUUUUAUCCCAGACUGCAAUGAAGGUUUCUGAGCACAUCCUUUUGUUUCCAGUUUCUUACUGUGAGGGCUUCUGCUGUCUUCUGGCUGAGCGUUUGGGUGGUGGCACCUCUGAUAUAGAAGGAAUCCCUUAACAUGCCCAGACUGCCUCUGCCUUGGACGUCAUCCAGUAAUUAAAGUCAAGCAGACCAAAGGGAGGAAACCUGCAAGUCGGGGAGGCAUUCUUUGUGUCUCUUGUCUUUCUCCAAACGCUCUGAUAAGGCUACUUCCUUGCCUCAUGAACCCAGCUUGUUAAGCUGCUGAAAUGAAGGGAGAGAUAAGGGAAGGGAGAUGAACAAGCCAGGACCUGAGGCUGGAACUCUUGAGGGUGGGAGCCUCUGGGCAUGGGCUGCAGGUUCAUGUUGGUGCAGACAGGCUGUGCUAAAGACUGUGAUUAUAGGCUGCUCCUGCAGGUGAGUAAGGCUGGGGGUGUACAUUCCAGCCUGCUUUGAGGUCAGAAAGGAUGCUUCCAGUUUCCCGCCGUUCAUCUAAUUUAUUUCUCUUGCUCAGCUGUGGAGAUACAACGGCAGGGGAGUGGCCCUUUCACUAUGAUUGGCGAUUCCUUUUCAUGGGACUGGAAUGCCUCCAGUCUUACUGUUUAAUCACAACGCCCCAGGUAUUCUAGGUAGAAUAAAUGCAUUUGAACUAGGAAGACUUGGAAUCCAAUGUGUCCCUCUGCCAGGACAGAUGCAUGUGGAGCUGAUGUUGGACAAUCUGCUAGAGUCACUGUAUGUUCAUUCCAGUGAGAACAGGUCCUGGGACUGCCAAGACCUCCGUCAUGGUACAUAUUUUUUUUCCCCUCGUGAAUAUCCUGCUAGAAUCAUCUCUGAAUAUGGGUCAUUGUUCACAAGGAACACUUACUGUGGUGGUUUGAAUGAGAAUGGCUCCAUAUAUAUUUAAGUACUUGGCCCUCAAUUGGUGGAAAUAGUUGGGAAGGAUUAGGAGGUGUGUCCUCAUUAGAGGUGGUAUGCUGUAGGGAAGGAUUUUGAGGUUUCAAGUGACUAAUCAUUCUGAGAUUCUGUUUCUUUUCUUGUGGUUUUGUCUUAAGAGGUCAGCUCUCAGUUACUGCUCUAAGGCCAUGCCUGCCUGCCUGCUUGCUGCUAUGCUUCUUGCCUUGAUGGUCUUCCGAGAAAGAAUACCAUCUUCUUCAAGGAUUCUUAUAGGUGCUGUGUGUAGCAUGGCAAAGAAUGGGAAGCUUGGAAGAAUGACCAGUGAAGGACAGGUGAUACUUCUGUUGUGGUUUGAACGUGAAGUACUUCUAGGAUCUUGUGUUUGAAUACUCAGUCCAAGGCUAUUAGUUCUGCAUUUCGAGGCUAUGGGGCCUGGCCACAGGCUUUGAAGAGUCGCAUGUAGCAUUCCAUUUCCUCCCCAGAAGAGGGAAGGCAUUUACUUCCUCUCUUUAAAUCCAGUGAGUGUGUUGCUAAAUUCUAGGGGGUGCUUAAAAUACAUUCAGGUUUCUAUGAUUUAAAAAAAAAAUCUCAAAUGUAAAUCUUCCUUUGGGAGAGUUGCCAUCUCAAUUAAUAACAUAUUUAUGUAAAACACAUGCAUUAAGCAAACUUCGGUGUCUUCAAAUUUGGGGAAAAUUCUUGCAAAUUAUAAUUUUAAAUAAGAAAAAUAAAUCUCACUUCCAAUUUAUUUUUACUUUUUCUAUCUUAUGGCAAUUUUUAUGUGACUACUUAGGAAGCACUCUCAACACUGAUGUUCCAUGGAUCAGAUGUUGAGAACACAAAAACCUCUUGUCUAGGGCAGCCAUAUGUGUCUCCUGAUAGAGGCUGACUCCUGUCCUUCUCUGGAUGUCCCCAGUUUGGGUACGUUUCUUGAGCAUAGUCAUCAUCAUUCUUCAGCUUAGAAAUGGGGUAGUAGGUCUUGGCCUUUCAUAGCAAGCUACCAAGCUGUGUUUCCUUCACAGAACUGAAAUGUUGGUCAGAAUCAAUCAGUCCACCCAAUUUGUGAUGCUACGCAGUGAUUGACAACCAGGCCGUGGCCUAGCCAUGGCAGUCAAGUUCAAUGUGAGAUGAAGAUGUUUUGUUCUGCUUGGGUAUAUCCUCUUAGAGUUUUCAUGCUUGACAAUUGUCUCUCAAAGGACCCGCAAAACUGUGUUCCUGGCUGCCUGACCAUCUUUUUCUGAACUAACAUUAACUCAGUCAAAAACAAGACUGAAAAUUUACAGCUUGCAAACGUAGCUGUAGGCUCCAUGCCUAAUUGCCCUUAGCCUUCCCUGCAUUUAGGUUCUAGGAAUUUAGAAAGAGAAAGGGAUAUUUUCAAGAGUGGCUUAACAAGCAUUCCACAAGGAGGUAAUGGUAUGACGGUUCAUGUUGACACCUGUAAAAAUCUUACUUGAAAUUUCCACAUUUAUGUUUCAUAUUUAAAGUGUUAGGGCUGUAGAGACAGUCUGCACUGAUCUUUCCUGAGGCAUAGAUGUGCCAACUCUCACCCAAUACUGAUGCUCUCAGGCAGUUGGGGGGCAGCUCACCGUGGCAUCUUGCGAUCACAAAAGAUGUUUAUUUCAGGCAGAGAGUUAAAGAAUUCCAUGCAGACACCCACUGAGAAGGGACAUUUGCUCUAGACUUCUCCUUUUAGAUGCUUUGCUCUUAGGAAAUAUCAACCGUCUGCCCAGGGCAAAUAACUAAAUAGCCACAAUUUUCUAGCUCACUCCUAUUUUGGGCUUUAAGUGCCAGAGGCAUUUGAACACCCAUGUUGGAGGCUGGAUUCUCACGGAGACUCAGGAACCUAGGAGAGCCAAGCUGGUUUAGAUCAAUUGCUCCCCGUGCUUAAAGACCUAGUAAAAACAGGUUAUAAUGUUUACAUGACUUUUUAUGGGUCAGUUUAUUACUGUUCUAUUCUAUGGCCUACAGCGGAGGACCAUUUUUACGGGCUUUGCCGUAUUUGACAGUUCUGUGCAUCUGGUAGGGGAAGCUGUUUCUUUUCUUCCUUUCAUUUUCUCAUUUUCUCUGUUUUAUUCCCUUGCUCCACACUUCCCCACCUCUGCAAAAGCACAUUCUCACAGGCCCCUGCCUGCAAACCAUCUUUCUUUUCCCCCAGAAACCUGUAACCACAUUUAGACCUUAUAUUCUGUAGAUGGAGAAAAAUUGCAGCUUCAAAUGGUUUUCCAUUUUAAUUUCGAGGCUUAGAAACUAAAUGCCUCCAAACAAGGCAUUGUACCCAAAGACACUGUAUGUUUGUAUGUAAUAUGUAUGUAUGUAGUAUGCAUGUAUGUAUGUAGUAUGUAUGUAAUAUGUAUGUAUGUAUGUAAGCUGUGCUCUGUACUCUAUCUCUUCUCUGUAUUAAAAAAGGCAUUGUAACAGAAGGCACUUUACGUGUGUAUGUGUGUUAUAUCCUGUCAUUCAUCACAUCUCUACAUUUGCACGUUUAGUGGAUAGGAGUGCAAAUGUCAGGGCCCAGUAAAUCUAUUGUAUUAGUGUCCCAGCAUGUUUUAUUACUUUGAAAAAUGCCCUAAUAUGUCAGAUGCCUCAACAUCAGACCAUGGUGAGGGUUAAAAAUUAGCUUCUGCAUGAGUCGUACGUACAAAUGUGUUCAUUAGCUCACUAAUCAGCUCUGAUGAAACAUCCACUAUGUGUUAGGUAUGGGCAUUAAAGAUAGAGAAGAUAGAGAAAAUGAGCAACCAUUGCUCUUCUGUUCCUGUUC